GGUCCUAUGGUGUAAUGGUUAGCACUCUGGACUUUGAAUCCAGCGAUCCGAGUUCGAAUCUCGGUAGGACCU
rnacentral:tRNA from 2 species